UAGGGAAUCUUCCGCAAUGGACGCAAGUCUGACGGAGCAACGCCGCGUGAGUGAAGAAGGUUUUCGGAUCGUAAAACUCUGUUGUAAGAGAAGAACAAAUUGUAGAGUAACUGCUACAGUCUUGACGGUAUCUUACCAGAAAGCCACGGCUAACUACGUGCCAGCAGCCGCGGUAAUACGUAGGUGGCAAGCGUUGUCCGGAUUUAUUGGGCGUAAAGGGGGCGCAGGCUGCUUCUUAAGUCUGAUGUGAAAGCCCACGGCUUAACCGUGGAAGUGCAUUGGAAACUAAUAAACUUGAGUGCAGGAGAGAAAAGUGGAAUUCCUAGUGUAGCGGUGAAAUGCGUAGAGAUUAGGAGGAACACCGGUGGCGAAAGCGGCUUUUUGGCCUGCAACUGACACUGAGGCGCGAAAGCGUGGGGAGCAAACAGG
rnacentral:rRNA from 1 species